UCCGGUUUGGCACCGGCAGUCUUCCCAGAGUCCCCGCCAUGACGCGCUGGUAACUGAGAACAGGGGUUGCGCUCGUUGCGGGACUUAACCCAACAUCUCACGACACGGGCUGACGACAGCCAUGCACCACCUGUGCACUGGCCCCGAAGGGCUGCCGUAUUUCUACGACAUUCCAGUGCAUGUCAAGCCUUGGUAAGGUUCUUCGCGUUGCGUCGAAUUAAACCACAUGCUCCGCUGCUUGUGCGGGUCCCCGUCAAUUCCUUUGAGUUUUAGCCUUGCGGCCGUACUCCCCAGGCGGCAGACUUCCCGCGUUGGCUCCGGCACGGAUCCCGUCGAUAGGGACCCACACCUAGCACCCAUCGUUUACGGCGUGGACUAC
rnacentral:misc_RNA from 1 species